UAGUGGCGAACGGGUGAGUAACGCGUGAACAACCUGCCUUUCAGUGGGGGAUAACACCUGGAAACAAGUGCUAAUACCGCAUGAGACCACGACCUGGCAUCGGGAUGGGGUCAAAGAUUUAUCGCUGAAAGAGGGGUUCGCGUCCCAUUAGGUAGUUGGUGAGAUAACAGCCCACCAAGCCGACGAUGGGUAGCCGAGCUGAGAGGCUGAUCGGCCACACUGGAACUGAGACACGGUCCAGACUCCUACGGGAGGCAGCAGUGGGGAAUAUUGGGCAAUGAGCGCAAGCCUGACCCAGCAACGCCGCGUGAGGGAAGAAGGUCUUCGGAUUGUAAACCUCUGUCGCAAGGGACGAAGGCGUGACGGUACCUUGUGAGGAAGCCCCGGCUAACUACGUGCCAGCAGCCGCGGUAAAACGUAGGUCACAAGCGUUGUCCGGAAUUACUGGGUGUAAAGGGAGCGCAGGCGGGAAGACAAGUUGGAAGUGAAAUCUAUGGGCUCAACCCAUAAACUGCUUUCAAAACUGCUGGCCUUGAGUAGUGCAGAGGUAGGUGGAAUUCCCGGUGUAGCGGUGGAAUGCGUAGAUAUCGGGAGGAACACCAGUGGCGAAGGCGACCUACUGGGCACCAACUGACGCUGAGGCUCGAAAGCAUGGGUAGCAAACAGGAUUAGAUACCCUGGUAGUCCAUGCCGUAAACGAUGAUUACUAGGGUGUUGGAGGGUUGACCCCUUCAGUGCCGCAGUUAACACAAUAAGUAAUCCACCUGGGGAGUACGACCGCAAGGUUGAAACUCAAAGGAAUUGACGGGGGCCCGCACAAGCAGUGGAGUAUGUGGUUUAAUUCGAAGCAACGCGAAGAACCUUACCAGGUCUUGACAUCCGAUGCAUAGCACAGAGAUGUGUGAAAUCCUUCGGGACAUCGAGACAGGUGGUGCAUGGUUGUCGUCAGCUCGUGUCGUGAGAUGUUGGGUUAAGUCCCGCAACGAGCGCAACCCUUAUUGCCAGUUACUACGUUAAGAGGACUCUGGCGAGACUGCCGUUGACAAAACGGAGGAAGGUGGGGAUGACGUCAAAUCAUCAUGCCCUUUAUGACCUGGGCUACACACGUACUACAAUGGCGUUAAACAAAGAGAAGCAAGACCGCGAGGUGGAGCAAAACUCAAAAACAACGUCUCAGUUCAGAUUGCAGGCUGCAACUCGCCUGCAUGAAGUCGGAAUUGCUAGUAAUCGCGGAUCAGCAUGCCGCGGUGAAUAAAUUCCCGGGCCUUGCACUCACCGCCCGUCA
rnacentral:rRNA from 1 species